UCUGGACGCUGUUUGAGACCUGC
rnacentral:piRNA from 1 species